rnacentral:lncRNA from 1 species
UGAUUUCAGGUAUCGAAUUUGGAGCGCGCACAGACCAACUUACACAAUCUAGUGGUGGUACCUCAUAGCUUAGGGGCAGGAGCUGUGACUUUACGCAAGGCAACUGUUGUCUUUGAACCAGAUGAGCGCCCCAGGUGCUUGCAGAUAAAGUCCCCAGCCAACAUGAGCUUUUUAAGAUCUACAUGGGUCUUCAGUCCAAGUCCAUUAAGCAUGUACACAACAUCUUCCGUGGCAACAUUUCCGGAAGCUCCCUCCUUUAGCAUACGGACAACCCCCAAGACCUGAUACUGAUGAAUCCACUGUGAGGAUUCCUAUCUGCCAAGAUGAAAAUGUCAUUCCAGUUCGAUUAUCCUUUUUUCUUAAUAUAUGCAGUUCUAUUAUCCUUAAACAUUAAGAUCAGUCAGAAUUCUAGAAGUAUGGUCCGCUAAAUCAUGUAGUCACAAGAAAGGGAAUCAACUUGUGUUGGAGUGGCCCUAAAAACCUAUUGUCUCAAGUUUUAAUUUAUACUUUGGAUAGUGCACCUUUUUCACGAGCUCCAUUUGCUUAUUUUGAUGUCCAUCACGCUCUACUGUGACAAGCUCAGCACUAUGUAGAUGACUUCCAAUCCAAUACUGCAUGUUCGUACCAAUUUCAUUGAGCUUGUUAGUAUGCACGUAUCCACAAGCACUGCUAGCACUCCAAAGUAUUCCUCUCAGACCAUUGAGUAGGCAAAGGCGUAUUGAGUACCCUCCUUUACUUGUCCCUCGAUAAGUGCCAAAUGUACUUUGGCUUCGUUUUCGUACUUGCCUUUUACUUUUUUAAAUAAUUAUUAUGGAGGCCUUUCAAUCAUGAAUUGUUUAUUGAUAGUGGUAAUUGGGUCGAAAAUCCAAGACAAAAACAAUCGUUUGAAGACUUAUACUUUGAUUUUGACUGAUCUAAUCAUGUCAAAAAUUGCAACUACCUACAUUUGGUUUAAUUUUCCUGCUAAAUUCAAGAGCAGUGUGGAUUACCUGGAGUGACGCUAGUAUGUUUGAAAUAGCUUGCCCAUACGUGUCAUGAAAAUGGACAGCAAGCUUCAGUGGGGACCACACCAACAACAGCCUCAAGCAUUGGAAUGACACUAUCUAGAGUGGAAAAAAAAAAAGAAUUUUAACGAAAAAUCUACGAUACUGUUUAAUUUAACGAAAAAUCAUAUUUUUAUACUAAAAAGUCAAACUUGAUAACAAACAAACAAAAUACACUACCCAAUCCUCUUCCUCCGCAUCAUUAAGAUAACAACGCAAACUACCAUCACAAUCACUGGACUUAAAAAGACAGGGUCUGAAGUUUUUACUGUUAGGAACUUAUGACAUCUUUUGGGGAUGUUUUAUUUUAUAUUUUCACAGCGUCAGUGUUUAUCCCAGAAAGCAUAAGCCUUGAGGAAUACACCACAGCCAAAUAGUGUCUACUAUAUGGGAUAAACGCUAAACAAAUGAGACUAGUCAAAAUAAGUGAAUGGCACACUACAAGCCGAGCCUCAUGCUGCACAUUUCUGUAACUUUUCGGUCUUGAACUUCUAGUUUGGCUUUCCAACUUCUUUGUUUACCCAAAUGAAAUUAGCCCAAGCAAAAUUUAACUUUCCCAAAGUCAAAACACGCAAUCACUGGCCGGCAAACCCACAUCAUAGCAUGAAAGCUUAGAAAGUUUCUUUUUUCCUCCCAUUUUGAUGAAUACGCUAAAAGCCUAAUAGAGAAUUUAGGAUGGCAGAAGGAAGUAGUAUAAGUUCAACAAGAGCCAAGGCAUGAGCCAACUAAAUCAACAAGAAGAAAGGCGGACAAAAUUACCUGGAGUACCAACACCAAUUGUAUCACCAAGAGAAAUUUCUGAGCAACCCAUGUCAUAAAGUUCUUUCGCCACAUAUGCUACUUGUGAUGGGGAUAUCUUUCCUUCCACUGGACACCCCACAACACACGAUAUGUAUCUAAAAGGAUUAGAAAGGUAUAAUAUUGGAAUACUGCUCAGAAAAACAAUAGAAAUUAAAUAGUUCCAUAUAAAAAUAUUAUUUAGAAAGAAAGUAAUUUAGUUCCACUGGGAGUGAGAAGAACCCAUACCACCCUCCCCGACCCCCAAAGCGCAGAAAACAAAAAGUAGUUAGAAAAUAUACCCACAAAGAGGAAUUAAAAGCUUUCUGGCAGCAAUAGCAACAUCACUAUGACAAACGAGACUAUCUUCAAUACUGCAGUUUAUAUUUGAUUUUGAAAAAGAUUGAGAAGCCGAGGCAAAUAUGCCAACUUCUUUUGCACCAGAAGCAAUAGCUGCCAUUUCAUCGGAUGAGGAUCCUCUCCGGAUUCUCUUUGUGAGGAUCUCGGAGAUCCUCCAAUUAUGUUUGUUUAUCGUAUAUUGUGAGACUAGAAGUACUGUUUAUAUUUAAUUUUAAAUAAAAAAAAUUAAAAUGAUUUAUGACCGUACGAUAUACGAUGAACGGACACAAUUGAAGGAUCGCAGGGUUUCUCACAAAAAGGAUCCUCAUUCGUCUCUCUCUUCUUCAAAUCUUUUCUUCUCCCAUUUUAGUGCAGUUUAGAGUGGAAAUGUCAUUUGCAAAACUGCAAAGGGUUUGGUCUAAUGAAAAGUGAGCAAAAGUUUGGAAUUUCUAACUCGAAUUUGAGCUCUCACAAAUGCAUUUUUUGAGCAACCGGCCCCUAUUUUGGUGUAUUGUUUGAACCGAGGCCAAAAGUUCAAUAGCCUUAUUAUUCUUGCAUUAAGUUCCCUGAUUUAGUGAAUCAUGAGAAAAAUAAUAUUGGAUGAGACUAUUCAAAACCCUAGAAUACAGAAGUUGGCCUCAUCACCUUGUCCUUCUUGUACGUUGGAUUAUAUAGUCAUUCAUUUUACGGGGCAAGAGAUUUGACAUUUAUGGAUUAAUCAACUGCGCUUCUAAGUUAGGUUGGACGAACGCACCGAAAUCCCAAAGUGUCAGAGUGUCGGACACUCCGACACAGGUUGAACAUGAUCAAGACACUGGUCAAGGGGCGGGCAUUUUUAUAAAUUUGAAAAAUAUUUAGAGUCAGUUUUGGAAACAUAAAAACAUUGAAAGAUUUGGGGCAAUUUGGAAAUACAAAAACUAAAGCCUAAAAGCAACCCGUCCUAACCCAACUUCAAUCUCUUAUAUGCGCCUCCUUCCACUUCUCUUCUUCCCCUCUUCGCAACCGAUGCAGCCUCUUCUCUACGGCCUUCACUCUAGUUGCAUUCUAUUUUAAUUGGUUGUUUAAUUUGUUAUUGAGCAUAAACAUAUCUCUUCUUGUUUUUUUUUUUCUUUUUUAAAAGGAACAACUGGUUACAAGUCACGGUUAUACAUAUUUUUUAGAAGCCGAAAAGACUUACAUAGUCAUUUCAGCUUCCCUCUAGCUUCUUGUUUUAAUUAUUAUACUUGUUUUGUUUUAAUUAUUAUACUUGUAUUGUUUUAAUUAUUAUGUUUUGUGUUAUUUUAGUUAUUAUGUAUAAUGAACGAAUUUGAUAAACACAGUUAUUUUGUUAUAUUAUAAUCCACUAUUAUUUUUAAUAUAUGCAAUAUUUACUAUAAAUUUAUUAUAUUUUAAACAAUGUUUCCAUGUCCUAUUUUUUAAGAUUUUUCAUGUUCUUGUCGCCUGUAUUCGUGUCCAUAUCCGUGCAUCCUUGUAAUAGUGUAGGAUAACUAUUUUGGAGUGGGAAAUGUUUUGCCACUCUAUCCCUUAUCAAACUUUAACUUGAAUUUUAACCAUUGCUUGUUAUUGACUAACAUUUUGGGAAUUCCAACUGGAUCAUCAGCUUCCAGACUCUGUAACCCUCCACCUCCCUAAAGGAAGAAAUGGCAAACAAGUGAGUUCGAGUAUGUAGUGCAGCUACAUCAACACUUGAGCACGACAAACGUUACAUAAGAUCAACCUUUCCACCGUACGUCAGCUACAUCAUGCCUGCCUCCUUUCUUACUUCAAACAUUCAUUCAUCGUAUCCUUACUUGUUGUGGCCAGUCGACGGAAUUUGGAAAUAUAGCAUGCUUAGUUUGCGUCAAUUUCAAUAGGGAUUCAACACAAUCCAAUCCAUCAUGUUAAAUUCAGAAAAUUUGGACCCCAAAUAGAAUUAUAACUACCUUUUACAUUUGCUAUAAUUAUAACAAAAAAUUGAUAUAAAAGUACUAAUAUAACAUUAAAGGUUUUCUACAAGAACCAAAAAGCAAAAUUAAAACGAACAUCGGGUGUCUAGAUCUUAGUGACACUUAUAAGCUUCUUGUUGUUAGUAAAAGGAAGGCAUUUUUCUGGUGUGGUUGCAGAAAAAUGGAUUGGGAAGAACUCUUCGAAAGUUGGAGAAGAUUUGAAGGUCUUGCUCUCACAGUUAUCUGGUACUCGAGGGCUUGAGCAAUCACCAAGCGCUUUGUAUGAGGAGUUGGAGGAAGAAAGAAAUGCUUCUACAAUCGCUUCAGAUCAAACAAUGGCCAUGAUUACAAGACUGCAAGAGAAGAAGGCAGUGCUCCAUAUGGAAGCACUCCAGCAAUUAAGGGCUGAUUUGGUAUUGAUGUGCUUUGAAAAAAAAAACUGUUUCUGCUGUGCUGUGAGAAUAAGCAGCUGUGAAAUAAAACUGUAGAGUAUUUGGUAAACUUUUUUGUAAAAAUGCAUUUGAAAAAAAAAACAGUAGUAUAGUAUUUGGUAAAUUUUUAUGUAAAACAGAUGUGAAAAAAAUUCGGUUUUUCAAAGCUGAGUUUUGCAGCUUCUUGUUUUUGGCUUUUUUUCAUCAAAAACUGUGAAAAAAAAUCUAAAGCUGAAUGUUUAUCAAACACAAAAUAGCUCCCAACUUUUUUUUAUACCAAUUUUUUUCAGAAUCACCUUACUACCAAACCAGGCCUAAGAAUGAUGGAAGAGCAAGGCGAGUACGAUAAUGAACCGCUGCGAAAGAUAGACAACCUUCUUGUCGAGAAGAAGGAAAUACAAGAUUUAGAAGCAGAGGCUGAGGGCACUCCAUGCAUACUGAGGGUUUCUUGAACACACGAUUAACCCGAUUCUCGUUUCUCUUCAUACUUCCUUCCUCCACUCAUCUUCAUCCUUCAUUUUUUAUUUUGUCUUCAUGUUGCACUCCAUGGCUAAUGAAAAAAAAAAUGAAAACUAACAAAAAGUCCAAAAAAACUUCCCUUUUAAUAAAAAGUCAUUUUUAAAGGUAUAGUGAAUAGAAUCAGGGAAAGGUAUAAAUCUGGUUUUUCGUUAAAAGUGAACAGUACUGUUUUGUUAAAACUGUAAACAGUAAACUAAAAAAUGCACAUGGAAACCUAAUAGUAAGCCAACAAAAAUGAAUUCAGCCGUACAUUCUAUUAUUCUUGAAUCUUCAACUUGCCAGGGGUGGUACAAUAUAUAUUUGUUGUACGUUUGUUUAUUUCUCUACUCUUUUUUGUUCCACAUGAAAAUAAAUCUACAUGAAAAUUCAGAGGGAAGAGAAAAUAGGAACACCCGGCAAGGUGGCUCCUGCAUCAACAAUAUAAAUGUUGCCAGAGACAUAUUCAGAAGAGUCAUGUACCAAAUAUCGAACUAGCGAUGUCAAUGCUGGAUCUGAAGUGCCAAAUGUUCUUAAAGGGGCAGUUUUCAUAGCCACAUUGUGCAGCCAGUCUUUUUCCAUUAGACGCUCCGUAAUUUCCGAUCUGAAAAGUCCAGGUGAUAUUGCAUUCACUCUGAUUUUGUGUACCCCCAGCUCCAUAGCCAUAGUCUGGUUAACAUAACAAGAUUCAGUAUAGUACCAUAGAAGCUUUCACCUACACUACCAAGUGCAGAGAACUACAGAACAUAUUCCUUAAGAGAAUACUCAUAAUCAAAUAUAGAUAAUGAAACUUAUGAGAGAAGAAGAGAAGAAGAAAAGAAUAAGCAAAGGUAGUGUCGGUGACAUGACAAAGUUGAGGAUAAAAUCUUAAAAUGGCAACUGAUAAACCAGCAGUUAAAAUGUAAAACUUCGUUUGAAGUUAGAUCAUCAAUUCAUAUGUCAUUCCCAGAAAUCCUCCGGUGCAACAAAAAGCAAAAUGUGGUUGAGUGCAAUAACACGUUGGUCAAAACAGUCUGUUGGUUAUACGACAAUAGAGCCGCUCAGACCAUGAGCUUGUGAUAACCACAGCCUUGCGUCAACACACUUUAUUGACAGAUGAUAACAGCACAUGAAGAUGACAAGCAUUUUGGCAAUCAGACUUAGAACUAACGAACUAAAGAGACCAAGAAUCAAAACCGGCUUAUAAUGGGGGUGAUAGAAUUUGGGUCAACGGGCCGAGGGCCCCACUCCAACAACAUUGAUAUUGUCCCCAACUUGGUAAUUACCACCUGUCCAAUCCAUCAGGUGUAGGGUUUUAUCACAAAAGGUCUCGGUACUAGUUAGAGUGGGGGUAAUCAUAUUUAAACUCUUUUCUUUCUUCUUUCUCUCACCUAUGUGGGAUAGCCAACAGGGGCAUAAGAGAAAGUACACAGUAUAGCCCACUAGCAAUAUUCCUCUACUAGACUAAAAAAGAACUGAAAUACUCCUAGGCUGAUUUAAGUCCCUAAGUCUAUCUUUCCCAGGAAACUGUUAUUGGCACUCCAAAAAAGUCAUCUCGUACAAUUUCUGCCUUAUGUUUCCCAGGAGGCAGGCAUCCCUUCAAGUUCUUAUAUUUCAUUUAAAGGCCAAAAGGAACAAAAACAUAAUUCCUUUUCCUUACGCAAUUAAUAUGAUUUUCCUGAUUAGCAUGUUAAAGAUAAUACCUUUGUUAAGGUGUUUACACCAGCCUUUGAACAAUUGUAUGCUGUAGCUCCAGGCAAAUAUCCACGAUUAAGACCAGCAAUGGAAGAUAUAUUGACGAUUGACCCUCCCUGAUCAGCAUCUCGCAUGCGUAUAGCAACAAACUUUGAUACCAACCAGGAACCCGUUAAAUUUGUCCUGAAAACAUGAUUCCAUUCCUCCUCAGACAGGUCCAAUGCAGAACUCACAUUACCUAAGAAACACAGAUGGUAGUAAGCAUUUAUGAUACACCAACACAGACCUAUAGACCAACUAGUUGCGUGUGCCUGUGAGGUCAACAAUUGGUGAUUGGUACAAGACAGGAAUCAGGAUUGGGACUGAGUCUAGUCCAGUCCGAAUCCGAUAGUCCCACCCGCACCCCCUGUGGAGGUAAGAGGUAGAGAGCACAUGAUGAUGUUGUAUACAAUACUUGGGACAGUAGUCCAAUUCAAUAGUCGAGUAUCGUCAUUGUUAAGUUCAUGAACUGAAAGAACAGUCAAAUAAGUAAUUUGCAUUACCAAACAUAUAAUUGUAAAACAAAGGUAUAUUUGUUAAUUCCCCCCUCCCCUAACUAACUUGUAUAGAGCUGCAAAUUUCUUCCUCAACUUUAAUUUUUGACAAUUACCCUCCUGAAAUUCUCUAAUUAGCCAAUUUUCUCUUUGAAUUUUAAUGCCAAUUAGCCCAUGAACUUUUAUAAAUAGUCAAUUUCUCUAGAUUUUAAAAAAUUCUCAUCCAAUUUUUCAUCUAUUUUGAUCACGUGUAGAAGACGUGACAACUCUAUGAGAGCAAAAAGAAUGGAAAACUAACAACAACAACAACAACAAAAUUUUUUCCCACUAAGUGAGGUCGGCUAUAUAAAUCCUAGAACGUCAUUGCGCUGGGUUCUAUGUCAUGUACUCCAUUAGAUCCAAGUACUCUAAGUCUUUUCUUAGGUCUCUUCCAAAGUUUUCCUAGAUCUUCCUCUACCCCUCAGCUAGAUGAAUGAAAAUUUUAAAAUCUAACCCUAAGCGAAAUUGGCUAUUUAUAAAAUUAGAAAGGGCUAAAGUUAAAUUCAGAAAGAAAUUUGCUAAUUACAAAAGCUUAAGAAGUAAUCAGGAAUAAAUUUGAGGACAAUCCGACAAAUACCUCUAAAACAAAUAAUAUAAAAGGCAGAAAGCCAGCCAAACCAACCUCUACCGGCAUUGUUAACAAGGGCAUCGAUGAGCCCAAACGCGUCCCAAGCCUUGUUCACAGACUUCUCGAUAGCUGGGCCAUCGGCGCUGACAUCCAGCUCCACGGCCACAGCCCUCGGGCCUCCACCAGUCCCACUAUCAGCAACAGAAGAUGAUGAAGAAGGAGCGGUGAUGGAGAGCUGGUUGAUUUGAUCGCACACGGACUGAAGGCGGUCGAUGCGGCGAGCGGCGGCUACGAUUCUGCAGCCGGCUUUAGCUAAGUCUAAGCACAACUCGCGGCCGAGGCCAGAGGAAGCGCCGGUAACCAUGACGACUUUGCCGUGGAGGUGGCUCCAGGGCUCCAGGUUGUCCGACAAUCGAUGAGGAUUCUCCAUGUUUGAUAAUCUGUACUCAACUAUGAGCUAUGAAUUAUAUAGAACAAGGAAGAAGAGACUUACAUGUGAAUGUGUGAUACUGCGAAAUCUUGACCGUUGGUGGCUUCGAUAUGGACGGUCAUGAUUUGGGGUGAUAUAUUUGUAGUUGCUGGACGAAAGCAUGUUUGGUGAGGUAGUCGGCUUGACUUGACCCACUUCGAUUAUAGGAACGGAAAGAGAUGAUAUAUUUGCAGUUGCUGGACAAAAGCACGUUUGGUGGGGUAGUCGGCUUGACUUACCCACUUUGAUGAUAGAAACUGAAAGAGAUCCGUCCGGAUCUCUUUCGCCAAGCUUACCAGAUCAAGUGAUCCAAAAUUUUGAAUUUUCAUCUAAUAGUAAAAAAUUAUUAUAGUUUUUAAGGGAUCAAAAUAGGUGGAUCGUUGAGAAAAAUAAUAUUGGAUGAGAUUAUUCAAAACCCUAUAAUAUAGAAGUUGGCCUCAUCAUCUAGUCCUUCUUGUACGUCGGAUUAUAUUGUCAUUCCUUUUACGGGGCAAGAGAUUUGACAUUUAUGGAUUAAUCAACUACGCUUCUAAACUAGGUUGGACAAACACUCCGAAACCCAAAGCGUCGGAGUGUCGAACAUUCUGACACGCCGACGCGCCUCCAACACAAGUUGAACAUGGUCAAGACACUGGUCAAGGGGCAGGGGCAUUUUUAUAAAUUGAAAAAUAUUUUGAGUCAGUUUUGAAAACAUAAAAACAUUGAAAGAUUUGGGGCAAUUUGGAAAUACAAAAACUAAAGCCUAAAGCCAACCCGUCCUAACCCAACUUCAAUCUCUUAUAUGCGCCUCCUUUCACUUCUCUUCUUCCUCUCUUCGCAACCGAUGCAGCCUCUUCUCUACGGCCUCCACUCCAGUUGCAUUCUAUUUUAGUUGGUUGUUUAAUUUGUUAUUGAGCAUAAAUAUAUAUCUCUUCUUGUUUUUUUUUUUAAAGGGAACAAUUAGUGACAAGUCACGGUUAUACACGUCUUUCGGGAGCCGAAAAGACUCACAUAGUCAUUUCAGCUUCUUCUUGUUUUAAUUAUUAUACUUGUUUUGUUUUAAUUAUUAUACUUGUAUUGUUUUAAUUAUUAUGUUUUGUGUUAUUUUAGUUAUUAUGUAUAAUGAAUGAAUUUGAUAAACACGAUUAUUUUGUUAUAUUAUAAUCCACUAUUAUUUUUAAUAUAUGCAAUAUUUACUAUAAAUUUAGGGGUGUGAUAUCUACACAUCCCUUUUUACUUUUCCCACACAUUUUUUGUUUUCUGUCAUCGGAUGUGAUAAUUGAAGAAAAUCAACGGACAUAAAUUAAUAAGGAGUGUGUGAGAAGUAAAAAGGGGUGUGCCACACACCCCUAAAUUUAUUAUAUUUUAAACAAUGUGUCCAUGUCCUAUUUUUUAAGAUUUGCCAUGUUCCUGUCGCAGUGUCGUUGUAUCCGUGUCCAUAUCCGUGCAACCUUGUAAUAGUGUAGGAUAACUAUUUUGGAGUGGGAAAUGUUUUGCCACUUUAUCCCUUUCAAACUUAAACUUGAAUUUUAACCAUUGCUUGUUAUUGACUAACAUUUUGGGAAUUCCAACUGGAUCAUCAGCUUCUAGACUCUGUAAGCCUCCACCUCCCCAAAGGAAGAAAUGGCAAACAAGUGAGUUCGAGUAUGUAGUGCAGCUACAUCAACACUUGAGCACAACAAACGUUACAUAAGAUCAACCUUUCCACCGUACGUCAGCUACAUCAUGCCUGCCUCUUUUCUUUCUUCAAACAUUGAUUCAUCGUAUCCUUACUUCUUGUGGCCAGUCGACGGGAUUUGGAAAUAUAGCAUGCUUAGUUUGCGUCAAUUUCAAUAGAGAUUCAACACAAUCCAAUCCAUCAUGUUAAAUUCAGAUAAUUUGGACCCCAAAUAGAAUUAUAACUAAAGGAAAUCUGAAGGCAAAGGUAUAGCAGGUUGAUGAAUUGUAUAAGCUCAACUCAAUGUCGAGUGAGUAUUCAUUCACUUCUUUAUAUAGAGUUACAAAAGAUAAGGUUGUUACACUUGAUAAACAUUUGAAUCAGAAAAAUAAAUACAAACAGGUUGAAUCAGAUACAAACUGACACGCCCCGACCCUGAUAUUCCCCGAAUACCAGGACCGACACGUGCUGGCCGACACCCGGGGGUGACGAAAGCCAUUAAUUGAUACAAAAGCUAAGAAUAAGAAAUAAAUACAGGUUAUGAAUUUAAAAACAAUGAAUUAACAAUUUAGGAACGUGUUCAGAGCAUACAACUAAACCUAGUCACUAACAAGAAUUAAGAUAAGAUUAAAUGAACAAAGGAGUGGGUCCUACCCCGAGAGGACUCGAAGAUGCCGCUGCGGAAGUACCUUAAUGCCAGGAUUCUAUGCCUCGUUUCUAAGACCUGAAUGGGGGCGCAAAACAAGGGUGAGUGGACCAAGUUUAUAUACAUACAUAGUACGAAAACAGUUAUGAACAUACUAACCCCCACAGUUUAAUAAUGAAAACUACUAGAAUAAUAAGUGAUAAGCUUUUCAGAAACCUUUAGCAUGCCAUAAAACAAUUCAUAUAUCCAUCUGCAAAUCAAUCUCAGAAAAUCAUAUCAGAAAUUAUCUCAGCAAUCAUGUCAGGAAGCAUAACACAAGUUGUGCUGCUAGUGAGUGCACUGAAUAACAAUACUCCCGGCCCAAUGCCUGCACCUCAGUCUCUGUGCCCGUAGCCAGAGAUAUCUCCCUCCCGGCCCAAUGCCUGUCUCCGUGUCCCUCAGCCUUUCGCUAGGGAUUAUUUCUCCCGGCCCCAAUGCCAACACCAGAUCCUCGCCCCAGGCGGCAUAGUGUUCACUAGGUACGCACAAAACAUAAUUCAUCUCUAAAAUACAACUUCGUAGCAUAAAUUCAUCGAUCCUCUAUACUACGAAGAGGUGUUCGAAAGUCAUUUGAAACACAUUCUUAGCAUCCUAUCGUCAUCGAUCAGAUAGUCUACUAGAAUGAGGGUUCUAUAGAAAAUACAAUAUAAUGAAAAUAAUUCAAAACAUAUAUAUAAUCACGUAUAAUCAAAUCAUCAUGCUUCCUGUAAAGUAUUUCUCAAAUCAAUAAUUCUGCAAGGCAUGCUAUUAAAUUAUGCAUUUCUAUCAAUAAAACAUGCAAUUUUCGAAGGUGGUCCACUCACAGAUACUCCGAAGCAGCAGAAUUGUGUGCAAAAAGAUUAAGGAAGUCUCCACUAGCAACUUCACCUAAGCACGAAAAUGUACAAUUUAAUAAACUACCCAAAAGAUAGAAUUUUAGGAAAUGGAAAUGGGUUUUGGGUUUGGGUAGGUUAGGAACAAGAGGGAGUUUUAGGCUUAAGCCUAAACCCACCCUUAUACACACACGGCACACACACCACACAUUCACACACAUACCUACACCACACAUACUCCCAGAGCUGCACCGCACAACGCACACACUGUACACUUCAUAUAGUACACAAACAUACACAACACACACGUGCACCAUACACCAACAUGCCAAACACACCCACAGACAGCAUGCACAUAUAUAUAUAUAUAUAUAUAUAUACAAAUAUACACACAGAGGCAACAUGCAUAUAUAUAUAUAUAUAGAUACAUACAUAUAAACACACACGCAUGCACAGCAUGCAUAUAUAUAUAUAAGCACACACACGCACAGCAAGCAUACUUACACACACACACACACACGGUUCACGCACACACACUUGCACAACGUACACACUGCACAAACACACACUCACGAACUCGCCGGAGUUCGUCGUCGGAACCGGACAUGCAUGCACAAGGGAUGGUAAGAGUUAGGGCUUGAAUAAGGGGUUCUAAAACUUCACAAAUAUACCUAAGAACUCACCUGGACGCACUGCAGCAGGUUUUGGGAAGAGAUGGACCUCGAACUCGUCGGAGUUCGUCGUCGGAGCUAGAUUAUUAGCACAGAGAAAAACUGAGAUCAAAACCCUUGAGUUUUGUCAUAAACUCAUCAUGCACAACCCAGAAAUUUGAAGAAGGAACACAAUCCUCACCUGGGUUCGCGUGUUAGAGCUUUGAAGCUCUCGGCUUCAAUGGCAGAAAAGUCCACAGUGCUCUGAUGGCGCAUGCAAGGGUAUCGUUGAGUUCGUUAAGUCUCAAGGAUCCCAAAUAUAUGGUUUUGGGGUUUGAUUUGUGAGGGAAGUGAGGUGAAAGCUAGAGAGAAGCUCUCGGAGCUUAGAGAGUGUGAGAAAGAGAGAGAAGAAACCGAAAGAAAGAGAGCACUGAGAUUCUCAGAUGUGUUUCGGGCAGAGAUGAAAGGAAAGAGGGAUCUGAGAGCUGCCACAUGGCAGUUUAAGAUCAAUAGCCUUUCUAGAUCAAGGGUUAGGAUUAAAAGAGAAUAAGGGACUAAAUUGAUAGAUAACAAAUAUGUUCUAGGGGAAAAUAGAAAUAGAAUGAAAAAUGGGGGUGGGGUAUAACACAAACAUAUUUGAGAGAGUUGUGCGGAUAAUGGACUGUGUUGUUAUGAUCCUUUCUGUUGCAGAUUGCAGCGGGAAGGUUGUGGUUGAAUUGGUGGUGCUGACUUGGACCUUUCUUUAGGGUUUGGAGAUUUAUCUGAACUAGGUUUGUCAAUAACCACCUUUUAAAUUUGCUAUAAUUAUAACCAAAAAUUGAUAUAGAAGUUAACAUUAAGGGGGCGUUUGUUGUACCGGACUGUCUUAGACUGGACUAGCUUCAAGGACUAAGCUGGACUGGCUUAGACUAGACUAAGCUGGAUUAACUUAGUGAAGCGUUUGGUGCAGUGUCGGACUAAAAAACAGGAUAAUUAACAAAACUGAAAAAUUAUAUUAUUUUAAAGCAUAUCUAGAAUAUUUUAUAUUAAUUCUUCCUCUCUCUUUUUUUCUUCUAGAAACCCUUUUUCUAGAAUGCUCCAUCUUCUCUGCCUCACCACUCCCCCUUUUUUCUCCAUCCGUCUCAAUCCUCUCUGCCUAUUGAUUGUUUCCUUCAGCCAUCUAUUGCUUUCAUGGAAUCCCGUUUCCAAAAAAAUCAACCAAUGAAACACCUUUCAAAAUCCCAUCUCCUUUCAUGCAAUUCCCCAGUUCUUACUAAUUACCAUUCCAUUUUCUUUUGUUUUCUCUUUCAAUUUUCUAGCCAACCAAACACCUUUCAAAAUCCCUAAUUCCAAAUAAUUGCUCACCUUGUCUGGCGUACCAGAUUCAGAUUAUGGUCCACUGAAAACAAGAGUCAAAAAUUGAAUUCCCACAACAGAACGUGACUGGUGGGGAAAGAAUCAACGGAAGCAGGGUGGUUGGUAAGUGAAAAUUAAGGGUGUUUCUAGGAGAGAGCGAUGUAUGUAUGUGUGCGAUCUGAGAUACCAAAAGACCCAGAUCGUGGAAGACCCCAAAUCACCGAACCCAGAUGAAAAAAAUCCUUAUUUUCGAGGAUUGAGAUCUUGUAAGUUGGAAUGAUGCACAAGGUUUGGAUGAGGAAGAAGAUGAAAAUGGUUGUGGGAGCGAAGAAGAAGAAGCAGGGGCGAAACGAAAGAGGCUGAGCGGAGAUGGUCUUAGCGAGCCCCGUGGUUUGUGGAGGGUCUCGCUAAGAACUUCUAGUGAGGCUUCUAAUCCACGCGAGUCCCCUUUAGUCCCAUUUAACUUAGUCCCAAUACAAACCAAACAUAGGACUGUAGUCCAGUCUAGUCCAGUCCUAGUUAAUGAGGCCAAACAAACGCCCCCUAAAGGUCUUCUGCAAGAACCAACAAGCAAAAUUAAAACGAACAUCGGGUGUCUACAUCUUAGUGACACUUAUAAGCUUCUUGUUGUUAGUAAAGGAAGGCAUUUUUCUGGUGUGGUUGCAGAAAAAUGGAUUGGGAAGGACUCUUCGAAAGUUGGGGAAGAUUUGAAGGUCUUGCUGUCACAGUCUGCUACUCGAGGGCUUGAGCAAUCACCAAGCGCUUUGUAUGAGGGGUUGGAGGAAGAAAGAAAUGCUUCUACAAUCGCUUCAGAUCAAACAAUGGCCAUGAUUACAAAACUGCAAGAGAAGAAGGCAGUCCUGUUGUGCCUUGGCCCGUUCAUUAGUGCGGAAACGAGAUUCAGAUUACAACCACACCUAAAAUCACACCCAGUUAAACAGAAUAAAAUACAAGAAAUAAAGACAACGAGAAAUUUACGAGGUUCGGCAAAAACCUGCCUACGUCCUCAGAGAGAUAUUGCUCUUCACUAUGAGAAAAACAGUACAAGUUACACAUAAGUUAAAUCGACAUAACCCAAUCCCAUAUCCCUUGUACACCCACUCACAGAAUUUUCCCAAGAGCCUCACUCUACCCCAAGAGUUCUUUCACUAGAGACCUUUCACUCUAGCUCUCUUGAUUUUUCUCACCCGUGCCCAUACUUUCCCAUGGGAGAGCCGAAUGCUCUCCCCCUUGGAUGCUCUCUCAUGCCCUCUCAAGAGAGAGCCGAAUGCUCUCUCUCUCUCUCUCCUUCUCCACUUCGGCUCCUUGCAAUUAAAUGGACAGAAAAGUGAGUUAACUUCUCCUUUUUUUCAUAGACACAAUGAUGAUCCAUCAUGCUCCCUUUUCUCAAAACCCAAAACCACUUUCGGCAUGCAAAUGGGAAAUGAAUAAAAAAUGCCAAAACAAAAGGAAUCCCAUGAAACAUCAUCAUUGUCUUCCACUAUUAGCCAAAAUGAGAUAUGGACAUAUUUGGCCACUAUUCCGAAAGCAUAACACACAAAGUCACUUAAUUGUUAACAGCUCAAAAUAUGAGCCAAUCACAACAAUCUCCACCUUGGCGAAUACACCAUGCAAAAAUCCUUGCACCCAUCACCAAAGUCCAUUGGCCUUACGUACCAGCAUGCACACUCUGAAUCCACCUCAUUGGUCCUGUUCCGAUUCAGUCACUGCCAAUGCAUGUGAAGCUGCUGCAAGCUAAAAAUCACAAUUUAGCUUCAGACAGGAUCUCGACACAUCCUCGUCUCCUCCAACAGUUUUUUUUUCCCCUUCUUUAUUGUCUGCAACUUGGAAACUCGUCAGUGCACCCGUUUCCAGCAACAACCCAUCGAGCCAGACAAAAUUCCCCACACUUCUCUUCCUUCAGGACCAUCUCAUCACCUGUGAAUCCCUUAGCUCCACCUGCUGCAAAUCCCUUGCAACACUCGAGACUAAACAUCACCAAGAGAAGUGUUGCUUCGAGUACCUAGAGGGCAUACUCGAAGUCUUCCACCACAAACUUGCUACAACUCGGUCUAGCACCUGUAGCACUGUGGACCCUUGCCUCCGGAACCGGAUCUGAACCUGCUGUCUCUCUCAGAUCCUCUUUCCAAUUUUCUUCCACGAUUCCAACCUUUAAUAACUUAAGGAGUCUUGUGCCCACCAUUAUCCAUGGUCUCCUUUGUGUAUCAUUCCACACCAAAGAAGCUUGCACCUGCUCCAAACUUACUGUAACUUUCCAUGCAGUAAAGUUUCACAAGGUUAUAAGACAAAUCUGAAAGUGAGGUAAGAAGAAAGAGGCCUUUGUCUUCUUCCUCAACAUCAACUUUCGUAGUUGAUCUAAGCAUCCCUGAACACGGCUUCCAUUUCUUCAGGCUUCCAUUACUCUCCAUUACCAAGAGUAAAAUUGCCUCUCCCUUUAAACUGCUCAACUGAAAAUUCCAUGGUGAACAACAAAUCUGGACCUCCAACGAACCAAGCUUCCAACGAGCUCUGAUACCAAUUGUUGUGCCUUGGCCCGUUCAUUAGUGCGGAAACGAGAUUCAGAUUACAACCACACCUAAAAUCACACCCAGUUAAACAGAAUAAAAUACAAGAAAUAAAGACAACGAGAAAUUUACGAGGUUCGGCAAAAACCUGCCUACGUCCUCAGAGAGAUAUUGCUCUUCACUAUGAGAAAAACAGUACAAGUUACACAUAAGUUAAAUCGACAUAACCCAAUCCCAUAUCCCUUGUACACCCACUCACAGAAUUUUCCCAAGAGCCUCACUCUACCCCAAGAGUUCUUUCACUAGAGACCUUUCACUCUAGCUCUCUUGAUUUUUCUCACCCGUGCCCAUACUUUCCCAUGGGAGAGCCGAAUGCUCUCCCCCUUGGAUGCUCUCUCAUGCCCUCUCAAGAGAGAGCCGAAUGCUCUCUCUCUCUCUCUCCUUCUCCACUUCGGCUCCUUGCAAUUAAAUGGACAGAAAAGUGAGUUAACUUCUCCUUUUUUUCAUAGACACAAUGAUGAUCCAUCAUGCUCCCUUUUCUCAAAACCCAAAACCACUUUCGGCAUGCAAAUGGGAAAUGAAUAAAAAAUGCCAAAACAAAAGGAAUCCCAUGAAACAUCAUCAUUGUCUUCCACUAUUAGCCAAAAUGAGAUAUGGACAUAUUUGGCCACUAUUCCGAAAGCAUAACACACAAAGUCACUUAAUUGUUAACAGCUCAAAAUAUGAGCCAAUCACAACAAGUCCUCCAUAUGGAAGCACUCCAGCAACUAAGAAUGAUGGAAGAGCAAGCUGAGUACGAUAAUGAAGCGCUGCAAAAGACAGACAACUUCUUGUCGAGAAGGAGAAGGAAAUACAAGAUUUAGAAGCAGAGCAGAAGGCACUCCAUGCAUACUGAGAGUUUCUUGAACACACGAUUAACCCGAUUCUCAUUUCUCUUCAAUAUUUAGCAUACCCUAGACAGAAUUGCACCGUUACAGUUUGAAGUUUGCUUUCUAAGUAUUCUUCUCUCUAACAUUUGCUGAAAUUGGUAUUCUGUCAAGUUUUCUGUUUUGAUAUCAAUUGUGAAGAAUGAAAUUCCAAAACAUUUUAUCAUACUUGCUUAGGCUAUGUGUUCCUCAACAAGCAUGCAAGCCAAGCUAAGGUAAGCUACCAAUGUUAUGUGAGACCUACUUCAUACAAGACAACGAGAUGACAGCAAGAGGAGAAUGCACGAGAGAAAAACUUGAAACCGAAAACAACUUCAAAUGUUUUUCGAUUUUGAUUUCUAGUUCUCAUGCACUGUACCAUUUUGUCGUAUACAUUUCUUCCACCAUCCUUCCUCCACUCAUCUUCAUACUUCAUUUUUUAUUUUUGUCUUCAAGUAGGCAUUCUACGGCUAAUGUGUUGGAAAAAGUUAUGAAAAUUUGCUAUAUAUUUUAUUAUAAAUUAUUAAAUAAUACACAAUAAAAUCUCUAUAAAUGCAAGAAGAACAAGGAAUGGAAGAACCUUAAGAGAUUGAGGGUAGAAUUUGAUUCUAUAACCUUAAGACAAGAUUGCCCCUCAGUGGUGCCUCAAGGUUUGCGUUGGCAAAUGUCUCUCAGGAUACAAUGAUCUUUCUCUUUGCGGAAGUAGCACUCGAAUCCACAAAGAACAGCGAACCAAAAGUGUUUAAAACUCUCUCUUUGUUGAACACUAAACUACUCUAAUUUCUAUAUGAUUUCUGAAUGCAAAGCAUAUUUAAAAUGCUUGACUUGGUGGUCUAUUUAUAGGCUUUGGCAUGCCCCUUUUCCAAAGGUUGUAUCUGCUUCCAAAAGGCAAAGGACGCAACCCUUAUUCAAGAUUACAUCUGCAACCGAAACACAAGGGUUGCGUUUGAUUUCUCAUAAGACAAAGAUGCAACCUUUUCCAAAGUUGCAUCUGUUUUCAAACUGACAAAGGUUGUGACCUUUGUUCAAACAUGCAUAACCCUUGAAAACUGCCGGUCAAACCCAUCCAUGACUAUUUUAAUUUCCAUUUUAAUUUCCAUUCACUUGAACAUUAAAAUUUAAAUAUUAAUAAUACUAAUAUUUAAAUAUUAAAUUUCUAACAUAAUGAAGAAAAAACUGUAAACAGUAAACUAAAAAAUGCACAUAGAAACCUAAUAGUAAGCCAACAAAAAUGAAUUCAGCCGUACAUUCUAUUAUUCUUGAAUCUUCAACUUGCCAGGGGUGGUACAAUAUAUAUUUGUUGUACGUUUGUUUAUUUCUCUACUCUUUUUUGUUCCACAUGAAAAUAAAUCUACAUGAAAAUUCAGAGGGAAGAGAAAAUAGGAACACCCGGCAAGGAGGUUCCUGCAUCAACAAUAUAAAUGUUGCCAGAGACAUAUUCAGAAGAGUCAUGUACCAAAUAUCGAACUAGCGAUGUCAAUGCUGGAUCUGAAGUGCCAAAUGUUCUUAAAGGGACAAUUUUCAUAGCCACAUUGUGCAGCCAGUCUUUUUGCAUAAGACGCUCCGUAAUUUCCGAUCUGAAAAGUCCAAGUGAUAUUGCAUUCACUCUGAUUUUGUGUACCCCCAGCUCCAUAGCCAUAGUCUGGUUAACAUAACAAGAUUCAGUAUAGUACCAUAGAAGCUUUCACCUACACUACCAAGUGCAGAGAACUACAGAACAUAUUCCUUAGGAGAAUACUCAUAAUCAAAUAUAGAUAAUGACACUUAUAAGAGAAGAAGAGAAGAAGAAAAGAAUAAGCAAAGGUAGUGUCGGUGACAUGACAAAGUUGAGGAUAAAAUCUUAAAAUGGCAACUGAUAAACCAGCAGUUAAAAUGUAAAACUUCGUUUGAAGUUAGACCAUCAAUUCAUAUGUCAUUCCCAGAAAUCCUCCGGUGCAACAAAAAGCAAAAUGUGGUUGAGUGCGAUAACACGUUGGUCAAAACAGUCUGUUGGUUAUACGACAAUAGAGCCGCUCGGACCAUGAGCUUGUGAUAACCACAGCCUUGCGUCAACACACUUUAUUGACGGAUGAUAACAGCACAUGAAGAUGACAAGCAUUUUGGCAAUCAGACUUAGAACUAACGAACUAAAGAGACCAAGAAUCAAAACCGGCUUAUAAUGGGGGUGAUAGAAUUUGGGUCGACAAGCCAAGGACCCCACUCCAACAACACUGAUAUUGUCCCCAACUUGGUAAUUACCACUUGCCCAAUCCAUCAGGUGUGGGAUUUUAUCACAAAAGGUCUCAGUACUAGUUAGAGUAGGGUAAUCAUAUUUAAACUAUUUUCUUUCUUCUUUCCCUCACCUAUGUGGGAUAGCCAACAGGGGGCAUAAGAGAAAAUACACGGUAUAGCCCAUAGGCCCACUAGCAAUAUUCCUCCACUAGACUAAAAAAGAACUAAAAUACUCCUAGGCUGAUUUCGGUCCUAAGUCUAUUUUUCCCAGGAAACUGUUAUUGACACUCCAAAAAAGUCAUCUCGUACAAUUUAUGCCUUAUAUUUCCCAGGAGGCAGGCAUCCCUUCAAGUUCUUAUAUUUCAUUUAUAGACCAAAAGUAACAAAAACAUAAUUCCUUUUCCUUACGCAAUUAAUAUGAUUUUCCCGAUUAGCAUGUUAAAGAUAAUACCUUUGUUAAGGUGUUUACACCAGCCUUUGAACAAUUGUAUGCUGUAGCUCCAGGCGCAAAUCCACGAUUAAGACCAGUAAUGGAAGAUAUAUUGACGAUUGACCCUCCCUGAUCAGCAUCUCGCAUGCGUAUAGCAACAAACUUUGAUACCAACCAGGAACCCGUCAAAUUUGUCCUGAAAACAUUAUUCCAUUCCUCCUCAGACAGUUCCAAUGGAGAACUCACAUUACCUAAGAAACACAGAUGGUAGUAAGCAUUUAUGAUACACCAACACAGACCUAUAGACCAACUAGUUGUGUGUGCCUGUGAGGUCAACAAUUGGUGAUUAGUACGGGACAGGAAUCAGGAUUGGGACUGAGUCUAGUCCAGUCCGAAUCCGAUAGUCCCACCCGCACUCCCUGUAGAGGUCAGAGGUAGAGGGUACAUGAUGAUGUUGUAUACAAUACUUGGGACAGUCGUCCCAUUCAAUAGUCCAGUAUCGUCAUUGUUAAGUUCAUGAACUGAAAGUAAUUUGCAUUACCAAAAAUAUAAUUGUAAAACAAAGGUAUAUUUGUCAAUUCCCCCCUCCCCUGAAGGUUUAGGAAGAAAUUUGAGGACAAUCCGUCAAAUACCUCUAAAACAAAUAACAUGAAAGGCAGAAAGCCAAGCCAAACCAACCUCUAAUACCGGCAUUGUUAACAAGGGCAUCGAUGAGCCCAAACGCGUCCCAAGCCUUGUUCACGGACUUCUCGAUAGCUGAACCAUCGGCGCUGACAUCCAGCUCCACAGCCACAGCCCUCGGGCCUCCUCCAGGCCCAUUAUCAGCAACAGAAGAUGGUGAAGAAGGAGCGGUGAUGGAGAGCUGGUUGAUUUGAACGCACACGGACUGAAGGCGGUCGAUGCGGCGAGCGGAGGCUACGAUUCUGCAGCCGGCUUUAGCCAAGUCUAAGCACAACUCGCGGCCGAGGCCAGAGGAAGCGCCGGUGACCAUGACGACUUUGCCGUGGAGGUGGCCCCAGGGCUCCAGGUGGUCCGACACUCGAUGAGGAUUCUCCAUGUUUGAUAAUCUGUUGUCAACUAUGAGCUAAGAAUUAUAUAGAACAAGGAAGAAGAGACUUCCAUGUGCAUGUGUGAUACUGCUAAAUCUUGACCGUUGGUGGCUUCGAUAUGGACGGUCAUGAUUUGGGGUGAUAUAUUUGCAGUUGCUGGACGAAAGCAUGUUUCGUG